rnacentral:pre_miRNA from 1 species
UGACCCUGGAAAUCAAGUAUAGGUGGGGCCUGUGCUGUGAUGGGGCGACCCAUACUUGGUUUCAAGGGUCU